rnacentral:snoRNA from 1 species
AACAUCAUUUUUAUCGCUCACAUUGGCCCAUAAUUUUCAAUUAGAGGAGUAGUUGCCCCGUUGAGGUUCUUCUGGUUUUAGGGUCGGUAAGAAGCGUAGAUAGAAUUUAUAAAGAUCGUUGCUGGGCGCCUGGCGUUGAUCCAUUUGGAUAGGAGACAUUGGGAAUCAGCUGUAUCUACAAAA